rnacentral:rRNA from 1 species
ACUCCUACGGGAGGCAGCAGUGGGGAAUAUUGCACAAUGGGCGCAAGCCUGAUGCAGCCAUGCCGCGUGUAUGAAGAAGGCCUUCGGGUUGUAAAGUACUUUCAGCGGGGAGGAAGGCGAUAAGGUUAAUAACCUUGUUGAUUGACGUUACCCGCAGAAGAAGCACCGGCUAACUCCGUGCCAGCAGCCGCGGUAAUACGGAGGGUGCAAGCGUUAAUCGGAAUUACUGGGCGUAAAGCGCACGCAGGCGGUCUGUCAAGUCGGAUGUGAAAUCCCCGGGCUCAACCUGGGAACUGCAUUCGAAACUGGCAGGCUAGAGUCUUGUAGAGGGGGGUAGAAUUCCAGGUGUAGCGGUGAAAUGCGUAGAGAUCUGGAGGAAUACCGGUGGCGAAGGCGGCCCCCUGGACAAAGACUGACGCUCAUGUGCGAAAGCGUGGGGAGCAAACAGGAUUAGAUACCCCAGUAGUCCCAU